GGUAAUCAUUACAAUUUAAGAUCUGUAAGUUUGGGUGACAAAUAUUGAAGAACUCUUGAAUAAGGCUUGCCAUCUCGAUACUGGAUCAAUACUAUUCUAUUAUAAUAUCGGUAUGUGGUUCGGUAUGGUACGAGAUGGAAUAUUGAGUAUCGGUACGGUAUGAGGCACUGUCUCGGUACAGUAUGAUACUAGGUCUGCCGGGCAGUUCGGCCUAUCUGCCGGGCAGUUCGGCCUAGCACGGAAUUUCAUGAUCUUGAAUCUUCCCCCAACCUUUAUUUGGCUGCACUCAAUUGUUACUUGAUUACUGCAAUUCCCUGC
rnacentral:lncRNA from 1 species